rnacentral:lncRNA from 1 species
CUCAGACUGCUCCCUUUGCAGCCCCAGACAGAUGUCAAUUACAGUGCCUUCUCUUUGGAAACACGGAGCAAACUUUCUCUAUGCUGUCCACGGAGCAAGUCAACAAAGACGGUGGAAACAACUAUGAAAUAACGAGGGAGAAAAAUCAGCCCUUCUGCCGCACAAACCAGAAUGCAGAUGGCCAGGGAGGGGGUGCACGGAUAUUUCUUUCCCAGGCGCACGCAGCCAACGCAUGUAAAUCCUGAGGUUUUCACCGAAAUUCAAACACCGAGAGCAACGAAGAGACUAUAUAUGUCCUCAAGACAGGCCAGCUCGUCUUUCCAGAACUACUGUCGGGAUCCGGGUCAAGGCCUCCCUUUCACCAUCACCGUAGACCAGGAGCAUGAUAGGAGGAGAAAGAUGGAUCGCAGGGACAAUGGAAAGACAAGCAAAACUGGGGGAGAGAGAGAAUGGGAAAUCGACAUGGUGCACAGCCCUGACUCCCAAACUCUUUCUGGAGCCUGA